rnacentral:lncRNA from 1 species
UAAAAUUCAUAAAUGAUAAACAUUAAUGGUUGAAAUGAACACUUUCUAUUAAGUUGUACAGACUGUGUGAGUUUAAAUAAAUCAUUUUAUGAGAAUAAAAAAAUGUCAAGGUUUUUUUAUACAGAGGUGAGUUAUUAUGAACACUUUCUGUUAAUCUAUGCACAUUGAGUAAGUUUAAAUAAAUCAUUUUAUGAGAACAAACAAAUGUCAAGGUGUUUUUAUAUAGAGGUGAGUUAUUAAGUUAAGCACCCCAUAGUGUAAAGACCUUAUUUU